rnacentral:misc_RNA from 1 species
AUUAAUGGCUCUUCCAAUUCAAGAAAAAGUAAUGUUUUGAGUGAAAAUUCUGAGGUGAUAUUUGAAAUCAUUCAAGAACUUGAAGUUACUAAUCAAUAGAAAGAACAAUACAUUGAGAUUUUGGACUUAAUUUCCUUUCAUGGUUCUCUUCAAGUGAUAGAAAGCCAGUUCUCAAAAUUCUUCAUCCUCUUGAAUUAAUUUUCACAAGCAACUCAUAGAGAAAACUCACCAUUCCCCAACACAAAAGCACAAUUGAAUUGAUAGCUUUUAGUAUAUAUAAACCACAUACCUCAUCAAGCAUG